rnacentral:rRNA from 1 species
UACGAAGGGGGCUAGCGUUGCUCGGAAUCACUGGGCGUAAAGCGCACGUAGGCGGCUUUUUAAGUCAGGGGUGAAAUCCUGGAGCUCAACUCCAGAACUGCCUUUGAUACUGGGAAGCUUGAGUCCGGAAGAGGUGAGUGGAACUCCGAGUGUGGAGGUGAAAUUCGUAGAUAUUCGGAAGAACACCAGUGGCGAAGGCGGCUCACUGGUCCGGUACUGACGCUGAGGUGCGAAAGCGUGGGGAGCAAACAGG